UUCAGUCAAGGGCAAAGCCACCGAAAGGGGGCGACGCAAAGUCUCCGGUCUACAGGGCCUCCGGGCCCCACGAUAGCGGGACCGCCGGA
rnacentral:ncRNA from 1 species